rnacentral:rRNA from 1 species
UCGACGAUUUUCCGGUUGAUCCUGCCGGAGGCUACUGCUAUCGGGGUUCGAUUAAGCCAUGCGAGUUAAAUGUUCUUCGUGAACAUAGCGAACUGCUCAGUAACACGUGGAUAACCUACCCUUAGGACCGGAAUAACCCCGGGAAACUGGGGAUAAUACCGGAUAAGCCAUAGACGCUGGAAUGCCCUAUGGCUCAAAGCUCCGGCGCCUAAGGAUGGAUCUGCGGUCUAUCAGGUUGUAGUGGGUGUAACGUACCUACUAGCCGACGACGGAUACGGGUUGUGAGAGCAAGAGCCCGGAGAUGGAUUCUGAGACACGAAUCCAGGCCCUACGGGGUGCAGCAGGCGCGAACACUUUACAAUGCGGGAAACCGCGAUAAGGGAACCCCGAGUGCCAGCAUCAAAUGUUGGCUGUCCGGAUGAUUAAAAAUCAUUUGUUAGCAAGGGCCGGGCAAGACCGGUGCCAGCCGCCGCGGUAACACCGGCGGCCCGAGUGGUAGCCGUUUUUAUUGGGUCUAAAGGGUCCGUAGCCGGCCUGAUCAGUCCUUUGGGAAAUCUGGCAGCUUAACUGUCAGGCUUCUAAGGGAUACUGUCAGGCUUGGGACCGGAAGAGGUAAGGGGUACUCCAGGGGUAGGAGUGAAAUCUUGUAAUCCCUGGGGGACCAUCUGUGGCGAAGGCGCCUUACCAGAACGGGUCCGACGGUGAGGGACGAAAGCUAGGGGAGCAAACCGGAUUAGAUACCCGGGUAGUCCUAGCUGUAAACGAUGCUCGCUAGGUGUCAGACACGGUGCGACCAUGUUUGGUGCCGCAGGGAAGCCGUUAAGCGAGCCACCUGGGAAGUACGGUCGCAAGGCUGAAACUUAAAGGAAUUGGCGGGGGAGCACUACAACGGGUGGAGCCUGCGGUUUAAUUGGAUUCAACGCCGG